GUUGAAACAAUCGUUCCCGUACGAUCAGCGAAGUUAAGCAAAAUCGAACCUGUUCAGUACCUAGAUGGGUGAUUGUUUGGGAAUACCAGGUGCU
rnacentral:rRNA from 1 species